CCUACGGGUGGCAGCAGUGAGGAAUAUUGGUCAAUGGCCGGAAGGCUGAACCAGCCAAGCCGCGUGAAGGACGAAGGUUCCAAGCAUUGUAAACUUCUUUUGUCAAGGGACAAAAUCAGGCUCGAGAGCCUUACCGAGGGUACUUGAAGCAAAAGCAUCGGCUAACUCCGUGCCAGCAGCCGCGGUAAUACGGAGGAUACGAUCGUUCUCCGGGUUUAUUGUGUUUAAGGGGUACGCAGGCGGGCUGUUAAGGCAGCGGUAAAAGGCCGGGGCUCAACCCCGGCGAGCCGUUGAAACUGGCUGUCUUGAGAUGUCGAGAGGUAUGCGGAAUGCGAAGUGUAGCGGUGAAAUGCUUAGAUAUUGCGCAGAACUCCGAUUGCGAAGGCAGCAUACCGGCGGCGAUCUGACGCUGAGGCACGAAAGCGUGGGUAUCGAACAGGAUUAGAUACCCUUGUAGUC
rnacentral:rRNA from 1 species